GACCCGGGUGGGGCGGCGGCCACCGGGUUAGGUAGCCGGGCGCCGGGGGCGUGGAGGGCUGCAGAGUGGAGCCCAGGACAGCUGCGAUCCUGCUCGGGUUGCUUUCCUUCCUCCGUCGCCUUCUCCCUUUGCUCUGCGCUGGCCACACGGUGGGACGCCCGCGGCGACAGAAGUCUGGGCGCCCUUGUCUGAAACCUCCUGGCGAGCCUGACAAGCAGCCGCGGAGAGCAAGAUCCAUGUUCACUUAUUCCCUGGUCUAGGAGUGGAAUUUCUGGGACAUACGAUCCUUAUCCAUUAUGUUAUUACAAAUUGAAUAUAUUGAAUAUAGUUCACUGUGCUAUACAGGCUCAGCAGCCUGGACGCAGACGCAGCAGUGUGGAUGAUUGCAUUGAUCCAGACUUGGAAGUUGUGCGGCAGCCCAGACUGCUCUGUGCCAGGAUUCCUGGCGCCUCCAUGCUGGUCAGUGAGCCUGAAGAGGGCAGGGUCCAGCCUCAGGCCUCCAGCUCACUCUCCUCCCGGGAAGAAGACGCCUCUACUCCGAAGGCAGCCAGCAUGUAUCUCACUCGCAACAGUCGGCAGAUGGCCUCGGAUCCCUUCUGUUCUCAGGAAUCACAUUGGGACUAACCGCGCUGUGCAUUUUCCAUCGCUGGCAGCCAUCUCAACAGUGACGUCGGGCCUCGUUAUUAAUAGGGGAGGGACAGACCCAGAGAGAGGGGAAGUGGCUUGGGCUGAGUCACACAGCAAAGUUAGAACUGCCAGCUCCCAGCGACUAACCUCGCCCUGGGCUCUAGCCCACACACCUGGCGGCUCCGGAGACUUGCUCCUUUUUGGACUCUGGGCAACAAACUCCCUGGCUAACCAAGCGGGUCUGACUUGUCCUACAGAGCCAAUGAGGCAAAAGCUUCCUGAGAAUGUUAUAUUGUGAUCUUGCUGUUUCUACUGGUUGGCAAGAAACCGACUCCCCAUUCCUUUUCGAAUGACCUUGGACACAUCAUGGAAAGUCUCUGAACCCUCAGUUUUCCCUUCAGGAAAAUGCAGACAAGAAUUCUGGGUGCCUACCCCGCCCCCGCCCCGACAGACUGUGGACGAGCUAUAGGGUGAAGAUCGGGGUGCCCUUCUCCGAUCGGGUCUGCAUUUACAUGGGUGAACUUCAAACCUGGCUGAGCAUGGUAAUCACGUGAGUGGCCUUUAAAAAUACAAAUUCCUUAGCACUGAGAACCACAUCUAGUCGCUUAUGAUGGAGAACAAUGGACGAUAAGGUGAGAAAAAGAAUGUACAUAUGUAUGUGUGACUGGGUCACCUUGCUGUGCAGGAGAAGAUUGACAGAACACUGUAAACCAGCUAUAACGGAAAAAGAUCAUUAAAAAGACACUGACUUAAGAAGAUGUAGAUAAUGUGAAUUUUUAUCAAAUAAAGAAAUGGUAUGAAAAUUUUUUUCAAACAAACAAACAAAAGUAUAUAUAUAUAUAUAUAUAUAUACACAAGUUCCUUGGCCUUGACCAGCCUGGCUCACUUGGAUUUCUCCUCCUUUCUCCUGGCCACGUGGCCUCCAGCAUGAAGGGAACCCCCUUGGGGUGGUCUUUAACUUUUCCAUUUAAAUCCCCACCGACUCAGCUUAAAGAAACCUUCGCUAGGAGAUGGUCUCUCUCUGUCUCUCUCCCUUGGACUCACUGUUCCCCCAAUGUUGGCACUUCUCACAUGCUGCUUGUUAUUUUUACUUCACUGUUUCAAAUCUUUGCCUCUUGUUUCCCCCAAUGAGCUCCUGGAGGGUAAAAAACUGUGCCAUACCCUUCUCUUGCCGCACAAGCGCUGGCACUAUCAGGACCUAGUAUCUGUUCAAUAAAUAGUUAUUGAAUGGCAAA
rnacentral:lncRNA from 1 species